AUUGAACGCUGGCGGCAUGCUUUACACAUGCAAGUCGAACGGUAACAGCACUUCGGUGGCUGACGAGUGGCGCACGGGUGAGUAAUACAUCGGAACGUGCCUAGUAGUGGGGGAUAACUACUCGAAAGAGUAGCUAAUACCGCAUGAGAUCUAAGGAUGAAAGCAGGGGACCUUCGGGCCUUGCGCUACUAGAGCGGCUGAUGGCAGAUUAGGUAGUUGGUGGGAUAAAAGCUUACCAAGCCGACGAUCUGUAGCUGGUCUGAGAGGACGACCAGCCACACUGGGACUGAGACACGGCCCAGACUCCUACGGGAGGCAGCAGUGGGGAAUUUUGGACAAUGGGCGCAAGCCUGAUCCAGCAAUGCCGCGUGCAGGAUGAAGGCCUUCGGGUUGUAAACUGCUUUUGUACGGAACGAAAAGCCAUCUUCUAAUACAGGAGGGUCAUGACGGUACCGUAAGAAUAAGCACCGGCUAACUACGUG
rnacentral:rRNA from 1 species